rnacentral:rRNA from 1 species
UGGGGAAUCUUGCGCAAUGGGCGAAAGCCUGACGCAGCAACGCCGCGUGAGCGAAGAAGGCCUUCGGGUUGUAAAGCUCUGUCAGGGGGAAAGAAGGCACCUGGGUUAAUAGCCCAAGGGCUGACGGUACCCCCAGAGGAAGCCACGGCUAACUACGUGCCAGCAGCCGCGGUAAUACGUAGGUGGCGAGCGUUGUCCGGAAUCAUUGGGCGUAAAGAGCGCGUAGGUGGCUUGUCAGGUCUGAUGUGAAAACCUGGGGCUCAACCCCAGGCCUGCAUCGGAAACCGGCUUGCUAGAGUCUAGGAGAGGAGAGUGGAAUUCCUGAUGUAGCGGUGAAAUGCGUAGAUAUCAGGAGGAACACCGGUAGCGAAGGCGGCUCUCUGGAACAGUACUGACGCUGAGGCGCGAAAGCUAGGGGAGCGAACAG